rnacentral:rRNA from 1 species
AUGUACACCAAGGAGUUAAUCUGUCGAGCCUGCACAAGCAAAACCAAGAUCGAAACCACAAUACCUAACCUAGAUACAUGGUGGCCGGACAGAGUAGCAGGCAGAGACGAUGUAGCAGGGGCCAGGGUCGCAGGUAAACAUCGAUCGGUGGAGCGAGCAUCAGUCAUGGUGGCAGAGCAGCAUGACGACGCAGCGCCGGAUGAUGUAGAGCCUGGCCCUGUGCUCCCGCAGCAUCCUCGCCAGCCUUCCUCCUCCGCUUCCACCUCCGCCUCCUCUUCCCUUUUGCUUCUCUUGCUGCUUCCUCACAUCAUCGUUCAUCCGAGCUGA